rnacentral:ncRNA from 5 species
CAUCCAAGGAAGGCAGCAGGCGC